rnacentral:rRNA from 1 species
UACGUAGGGUGCGAGCGUUGUCCGGAAUUACUGGGCGUAAAGCGUGCGUAGGCGGUUCGCUGUGUCCGAUGUGAAAGCCCCGGGCUUAACCUGGGAAUGGCAUUGGAAACUGGCGGGCUUGAGUGCGGCAGAGGGGGGUGGAAUUCCGCGUGUAGCAGUGAAAUGCGUAGAGAUGCGGAGGAACACCGAUGGCGAAGGCAGCCCCCUGGGUCGACACUGACGCUCAGGCACGAAAGCGUGGGGAGCAAACAGG